GCUACGGGUGGCAGCAGUCGAGAAUCAUUCACAAUGGGGGAAACCCUGAUGGUGCGACGCCGCGUGGGGGAAUGCAGGUCUUCGGAUUGUAAACCCCUGUCAUAUGGGAGUAAAUUAAAAAGAUAGUACCACAAGAGGAAGAGUCGGCUAACUCUGUGCCAGCAGCCGCGGUAAUACGGAGGUCUCAAGCGUUGUUCGGAAUAACUGAGAGUAAAGCGGGCGUAUGGUUUUUCGUAAGUCUGUUGUGAAAGGCGCGGGCUCAACCCUCGGAUGGCAAAUGAUACUGUGAGACUAGAGUAGUGGAGGGGGAAGCGGAAUUCGUGGUGUAGCAGUGAAAUGCGUAGAUAUCGAGAGGAACACUCGUGGCGAAGGCGGGUUACUGGACAUUAACUGACGCUGAGGCACGAAGGCCAGGGGAGCGAAAGGGAUUAGAUACCCCAGUAGUC
rnacentral:rRNA from 1 species